UUUCUAACAAAGACAUUCUUUUACACACCACAGUACAAUCAGAAAAUUUAGCCUUGAUGUUACUACUCUACUCCAAUCUUGACAACUGUUUCAAUACCAUCCUUUAUAGUUACUUUUUUCACAGUCCAGGAUCACACAUUAAAUUGUCUCCUGAAUCAGGAAGAGUUCCCCAGACUUUGCCUUUCGUGACAUUGGCAUUUUUGACGCAUAUAGGCCAGUUGUUUUGUUGAAUGUCCCUCAAUUUGGGUUUGUCUGAUGCUUCCCCAUGAACAGACUCAGGUUAUGCAUUUUUGGAGGACUACCACAGAAAUUAUACUUGUUCUCAGAGCAGCAUAGCAGGAGAUCUCAAUAAAGCUGGUCGGAGGUGGAGAAAGAGAUGAAAAAAAAAGGCACAGCUUCUGCCUUCAAUAAAUUCUCAGUCUAAUCAGGAAGAAAAACAGGCACUAAGAAGUGAUUAUAAAUUGAAAGUGGAUGAUCCAGCUGUAAGCCACACCCAGCUGUCACUCAACUCUGCUUACCGAAUGCCCCAGCACUAUGAAUACAACUAUUAGUCACCAGAGGUG